rnacentral:rRNA from 2 species
GGGUUGUGAGGUUAAGCGACCAAGCGUACACGGUGGAUGCCCUGGCAGUCAGAGGCGAUGAAGGACGUGCUAAUCUGCGAAAGCGCCGGUAAGGUGAUAUGAACCGUUAUAACCGGCGAUGUCCGAAUGGGAAACCCAGUGUGACUCGUCACACUAUCAUUAACUGAAUCCAUAGGUUAAUGAGGCGAACCGGGGAACUGAAACAUCUAAGUACCCCGAGGAAAAGAAAUCAACCGAGAUUCCCCAGUAGCGGCGAGCGAACGGGGAGGAGCCCAGAGCCUGAAUCAGCAUGUGUGUUAGUGGAAGCGUCUGGAAAGGCGCGCGAUACAGGGUGAGAGCCCCGUACACAAAAGCGCAUAUGCUGUGAGCUCGAUGAGUAGGGCGGGACACGUGGUAUCCUGUCUGAAUAUGGGGGACCAUCCUCCAAGGCUAAAUACUCCUGACUGACCGAUAGUGAACCAGUACCGUGAGGGAAAGGCGAAAAGAACCCCGGCGAGGGGAGUGAAACAGAACCUGAAACCGUGUACGUACAAGCAGUGGGAGCCUCUCUUUAUGGGGGUGACUGCGUACCUUUGUAUAAUGGGUCAGCGACUUAUAUUCUGUAGCAAGGUUAACCGCAUAGGGGAGCCGAAGGGAAACCGAGUCUUAACCGGGCGUUAAGUUGCAGGGUAUAGACCCGAAACCCGGUGAUCUAGCCAUGGGCAGGUUGAAGGUUGGGUAACACUAACUGGAGGACCGAACCGACUAAUGUUGAAAAAUUAGCGGAUGACCUGUGGCUGGGGUGAAAGGCCAAUCAAACCGGGAGAUAGCUGGUUCUCCCCGAAAGCUAUUUAGGUAGCGCCUCGUGAACUCAUCUCCGGGGGUAGAGCACUGUUUCGGCUAGGGGGCCAUCCCGGCUUACCAACCCGAUGCAAACUGCGAAUACCGGAGAAUGUUAUCACGGGAGACACACGGCGGGUGCUAACGUCCGUCGUGAAGAGGGAAACAACCCAGACCGCCAGCUAAGGUCCCAAAGUCAUGGUUAAGUGGGAAACGAUGUGGGAAGGCCCAGACAGCCAGGAUGUUGGCUUAGAAGCAGCCAUCAUUUAAAGAAAGCGUAAUAGCUCACUGGUCGAGUCGGCCUGCGCGGAAGAUGUAACGGGGCUAAACCAUGCACCGAAGCUGCGGCAGCGACACUUUAGUGUUGUUGGGUAGGGGAGCGUUCUGUAAGCCGUUGAAGGUGUCCUGUGAGGGGUGCUGGAGGUAUCAGAAGUGCGAAUGCUGACAUAAGUAACGAUAAAGCGGGUGAAAAGCCCGCUCGCCGGAAGACCAAGGGUUCCUGUCCAACGUUAAUCGGGGCAGGGUGAGUCGACCCCUAAGGCGAGGCCGAAAGGCGUAGUCGAUGGGAAACGGGUUAAUAUUCCCGUACUUGGUGUUACUGCGAAGGGGGGACGGAGAAGGCUAUGUUGGCCGGGCGACGGUAGUCCCGGUUUAAGCGUGUAGGCUGGUUUUCCAGGCAAAUCCGGAAAAUCAAGGCUGAGGCGUGAUGACGAGGCACCACGGUGCUGAAGCAACAAAUGCCCUGCUUCCAGGAAAAGCCUCUAAGCAUCAGGUAACAUCAAAUCGUACCCCAAACCGACACAGGUGGUCAGGUAGAGAAUACCAAGGCGCUUGAGAGAACUCGGGUGAAGGAACUAGGCAAAAUGGUGCCGUAACUUCGGGAGAAGGCACGCUGACACGUAGGUGAAGUGAUUUACUCAUGGAGCUGAAGUCAGUCGAAGAUACCAGCUGGCUGCAACUGUUUAUUAAAAACACAGCACUGUGCAAACACGAAAGUGGACGUAUACGGUGUGACGCCUGCCCGGUGCCGGAAGGUUAAUUGAUGGGGUCAGCGCAAGCGAAGCUCCUGAUCGAAGCCCCGGUAAACGGCGGCCGUAACUAUAACGGUCCUAAGGUAGCGAAAUUCCUUGUCGGGUAAGUUCCGACCUGCACGAAUGGCGUAAUGAUGGCCAGGCUGUCUCCACCCGAGACUCAGUGAAAUUGAACUCGCUGUGAAGAUGCAGUGUACCCGCGGCAAGACGGAAAGACCCCGUGAACCUUUACUAUAGCUUGACACUGAACAUUGAGCCUUGAUGUGUAGGAUAGGUGGGAGGCUUUGAAGCGUGGACGCCAGUCUGCGUGGAGCCAACCUUGAAAUACCACCCUUUAAUGUUUGAUGUUCUAACGUGGACCCGUAAUCCGGGUUGCGGACAGUGUCUGGUGGGUAGUUUGACUGGGGCGGUCUCCUCCUAAAGAGUAACGGAGGAGCACGAAGGUUGGCUAAUCCUGGUCGGACAUCAGGAGGUUAGUGCAAUGGCAUAAGCCAGCUUGACUGCGAGCGUGACGGCGCGAGCAGGUGCGAAAGCAGGUCAUAGUGAUCCGGUGGUUCUGAAUGGAAGGGCCAUCGCUCAACGGAUAAAAGGUACUCCGGGGAUAACAGGCUGAUACCGCCCAGAGUUCAUAUCGACGGCGGUGUUUGGCACCUCGAUGUCGGCUCAUCACAUCCGGGCUGAAGUAGGUCCCAAGGGUAUGGCUGUUCGCCAUUUAAAGUGGUACGCGAGCUGGGUUUAGAACGUCGUGAGACAGUUCGGUCCCUAUCUGCCGUGGGCGCUGGAAGACUGAGGGGGGCUGCUCCUAGUACGAGAGGACCGGAGUGGACGCAUCACUGGUGUUCGGGUUGUCAUGCCAAUGGCACUGCCCGGUAGCUAAAUGCGGAAAAGAUAAGUGCUGAAAGCAUCUAAGCACGAAACUUGCCCCGAGAUGAGUCUUCCCUGAGACCUUGAGUCUCCUGAAGGAACGUUAAAGACGAUGACGUUGAUAGGCCGGGUGUGUAAGCGCAGCGAUGCGUUGAGCUAACCGGUACUAAUGAACCGUGAGGCUUAACCUUACAACGCCGAAG